rnacentral:rRNA from 1 species
UGGCUCAGGAUGAACGCUGGCGGCGUGCCUAAUACAUGCAAGUCGAGCGAACGGACGAGAAGCUUGCUUCUCUGAUGUUAGCGGCGGACGGGUGAGUAACACGUGGAUAACCUACCUAUAAGACUGGGAUAACUUCGGGAAACCGGAGCUAAUACCGGAUAAUAUUUUGAACCGCAUGGUUCAAAAGUGAAAGACGGUCUUGCUGUCACUUAUAGAUGGAUCCGCGCUGCAUUAGCUAGUUGGUAAGGUAACGGCUUACCAAGGCAACGAUGCAUAGCCGACCUGAGAGGGUGAUCGGCCACACUGGAACUGAGACACGGUCCAGACUCCUACGGGAGGCAGCAGUAGGGAAUCUUCCGCAAUGGGCGAAAGCCUGACGGAGCAACGCCGCGUGAGUGAUGAAGGUCUUCGGAUCGUAAAACUCUGUUAUUAGGGAAGAACAUAUGUGUAAGUAACUGUGCACAUCUUGACGGUACCUAAUCAGAAAGCCACGGCUAACUACGUGCCAGCAGCCGCGGUAAUACGUAGGUGGCAAGCGUUAUCCGGAAUUAUUGGGCGUAAAGCGCGCGUAGGCGGUUUUUUAAGUCUGAUGUGAAAGCCCACGGCUCAACCGUGGAGGGUCAUUGGAAACUGGAAAACUUGAGUGCAGAAGAGGAAAGUGGAAUUCCAUGUGUAGCGGUGAAAUGCGCAGAGAUAUGGAGGAACACCAGUGGCGAAGGCGACUUUCUGGUCUGUAACUGACGCUGAUGUGCGAAAGCGUGGGGAUCAAACAGGAUUAGAUACCCUGGUAGUCCACGCCGUAAACGAUGAGUGCUAAGUGUUAGGGGGUUUCCGCCCCUUAGUGCUGCAGCUAACGCAUUAAGCACUCCGCCUGGGGAGUACGACCGCAAGGUUGAAACUCAAAGGAAUUGACGGGGACCCGCACAAGCGGUGGAGCAUGUGGUUUAAUUCGAAGCAACGCGAAGAACCUUACCAAAUCUUGACAUCCUUUGACAACUCUAGAGA